UAGUGGAAAUGUCCUUUCUACUGCAACGUGUAGAUUUUCAGACCUGCAGAAGAUGCAGAGUGUUGUGAAAGGACACAGUAAAAGCAUGAAAUGAAAAGAGCUGUGUGAGCAAUGGACGCUAUGAGUCACAUCACCUGUUAGCAGUUACAGCACCUGUGUUCAAAAUCUGCACUGUGUCUAUCUCAAUCUACUUAGAAAUGGUAAGUACUUUGCCGUUCCCAUAAGGAUGCUCCUAGAUGGGACCAGAAGUCCAUUUCCUCAUCGUCCUUGUGGCAGCAGUAGAUGCUUUGGGAAAGAGCACAAUAACAGGAGAUAUGUGGAGGGAUCCUUUCCCAGGCAGUGAAUCAGAGAAAAAAACUUGCCAGAGAAGAAUGGAAGAUGACUCGGAAGCAUGCGAAUGAGCUGGGGGAAAGAUGGGAUUCCCACAUUUUUACUCAUAACUGCCUUCACUGGCUGCGAAGGUCAUAACAUCAGACCAUUCAGAGCUCAGCAGGACAGAUAUGAACUCAGACAAAGUUCCCAUACACCACCACACAAUGGGGAGACAAGCUUAGUCAUGAGCAUUCUUCCAGUGUUUUUCUCUUCCUUCCAUUCACCCAGAAAAAUAUAUAUUUUAUCUCAGAAUUGCUAAGGAAUGAACUCUCUAGUAGCUCACUGUAGUCCUACAGCCUUGAACUGUCUGCUGCAGUCUCUGCAUAUGGCAAUUACCCGGUGUCUGCUCAUAUUAUCUUAAGUCAAGGGAAGCCUUCACUGAAGACAGUAAGUGCUCACUGAAGACACUAACUGCUGCUAUCUGCUUUGGGCACCCAGAUUCCCAAAAGUGAUGCUGUGAUGCUGUGUGUUGUCUGGGCUUGAGCUCCCUUGAGGAUGCUAUUGAACCUCCACUGGGCUUUUGUCAGAAAAUAGCUACUUACCCUCUGACCUGCAACCCCCCAGAAAGGCAAUGAAGGAAUUGCAAAGUGGGAUUGAUCAGUUUGUUGACAUUAAAUAAUAAUAACAUUUUGAACGGAGCCUAAUUAUGGCAAUUUUUGUGCAGGAAAGGUGCAGGUUGUGUUCACCAGGUCUAGUGGUUUUAUUUGGACGCACCGCAGCACUACAACAUGCUAAUGUUUCAUUGUCAGGCAGACAGAAAAAAAAAAAAAAAAGCUGAUAAUUUACAACUGGUCUCAAUGGAAAGAUGACGGAAAAUAUGAAUUAAGGACAAUUAAUCCAUUGUAAGAAUGAUUUAGGAAUAACUGGAACUUGCUUUGGCCAUGAGAUUAGCUGUGUGAGCACUGUCUUUUCUACCAAAUUAAUGUUUUAAAAGUAUGUGAAUGAAAUCAUAAAUAAAAUCAGCAUUUUAAAUAAA